rnacentral:rRNA from 1 species
AUGGUGUUGGGAUACUCUCUAGCGGAGAGUCAUAGUAUUACCAACCGGUUCAACUGCCCGCUGGGUUCCUUCCCCACAACCUACUUGGGGAUCUCCAUUAGUGAUUCUCGGUUGUCUGUCGCCGAUUUGCGCCCAUCGGUUCUCAAACUUCAACACCGCAUCGAACCCUGGCAGGGUAGAUGGCUCUCGAAGGCGGCGCGGAUGAUCCUCAUUAAUUCCUCCUUGUCCAGCCUGCUCCUGUUCACCAUGAGCUUCUACAGCCUCCAUGAGACUUUGCACCAUGAGGUUGGCAUGAUCCAGGCCCGCUUCUUCUGGGCAAGCGAGGGUGACAAGUAG